UACGGAGGGUGCAAACGUUGCUCGGAAUCAUUGGGCGUAAAGGGCUCGUAGGCGGCCAACUAAGUCAGACGUGAAAUCCCUCGGCUUAACCGGGGAACUGCAUCUGAUACUGGAUGGCUUGAGUUCGGGAGAGGGAUGCGGAAUUCCAGGUGUAGCGGUGAAAUGCGUAGAUAUCUGGAGGAACACCGGUGGCGAAGGCGGCAUCCUGGACCGACACUGACGCUGAGGAGCGAAAGCCAGGGGAGCAAACGGG
rnacentral:rRNA from 1 species